rnacentral:rRNA from 1 species
ACAAUGGGCGCAAGCCUGAUGCAGCCAUGCCGCGUGUAUGAAGAAGGCCUUCGGGUUGUAAAGUACUUUCAGCAGUGAGGAAGGUGGGUAUGGUUAAUAGCAUAUUCAUUUGACGUUUAGCUGCAGAAGAAGCACCGGCUAACUCCGUGCCCAGCAGCCGCGGUAAUACGGAGGGUGCGAGCGUUAAUCGGAAUUACUGGGCGUAAAGCGCAUGCAGGUGGUUUGUUAAGUCAGAUGUGAAAGCCCGGGGCUCAACCUCGGAAUUGCAUUUGAAACUGGCAAACUAGAGUACUGUAGAGGGGGUAGAAGUUUCAGGUGUAGCGGUGAAAUGCGUAGAGAUCUGAAGGAAUACCGGUGGCGAAGGCGGCCCCCUGGACAGAUACUGACACUCAGAUGCGAAAGCGUGGGGAGCAAACAGGAUUAGAUACCUGGUAG